rnacentral:lncRNA from 1 species
GUUUUAUGCUCUGCCACUCACAUCCCUUGUCUUCUCUAACAUGCCAUAUUUAUGUCAGACGUCAUAUCCUUUCGUCUUUCACAUUCCUCCAUCUACUCUCACGCUAUCACAAAAAAAUUGAGAUGACGACACCGCCAUUUGCUUCCUCUGCAGCGCACAGGAAAUGACGCCGAGUAGAAUAUCUGCUUCUAGAAACCAUCCAGCCUCUUCCACUCUCAUUUGCUUCUUUGUUUGAUUGGAACUUCGACCCUUUCUUUCUCUUGUUUCACAGUAAGUUCUCGGCCUAUUUUUCGCUGGUUUGUUCUUCAUGUAGCUCGAUCUACCCGAGAAACUUCAUUUCCUGCUAAAUUCUUGCUUCUUUAUGGAUUUGUUUGUUACUUUUUGUAGUUUUAUUUAAGAUUUUUUUCUUUUUCCCUGUCUGAAAUGUGAAAGUUUUGUUGGGUUACUAUUUAUUUGCUUCGAUCUACUUCAAAAGCCAAAGAUCCUGCUCAAUUUUUUUACGAUUUUGUUAUCAUUGACUAUAUUCCAAUUCUGGCUGUCGUUUUUACUAUAGUUCUAGCAUAUUUCCAAGAGACAUUGCUACUAUUUGUAGUUCUAGCUUAUUUUGUAGUUUAUUCGUGUUUUUUUUUUUUUUUUUUUUUUUUUUUUUUUUUUUUUUUUUUCGCACAGCCUUAUCUCCUUUUCUCCAACCAAUGUCUCAUUCUCUCACAAAGGGUGUGCCACGACCAAGCACAAAAUAGAAGUUGAGUUUUAAGAAAAGGGCAACAACCUUGAAAAUUAAACAGUCGAGAAAUAUGCGCAAACGUACUGGAUUAUAAUAUGGAUCCAUUGUUUCUCUAUGCAUUUUAAAUAAUCGAUUUUCAUUUUCAUUUUUUUGUUAAUUAAUUGUUGUUGUCUCCUUAUUUUUUAUCGGUGUACUAUGGAUGAAUGACUUUCUAUUUGACACAUAAAUUUGCUAUUUGUUUGGGGAGUUCUGAUUGGUAAGCUCAUUUCUGAUCUUGUUUUUCUUCUCUUUCUUUGGGCAUUCUUUUUUUGAGAAUAAAUUGGAGAUUUCAAAGGGAGUAGGGAUUUUGAAAUGAAGACAUUUUAUGUUCGCAACUUUUCAUUUGGUGUUGUGUUUGGGGUCGUCAAAGCUCCCUUCUUGUUCUUCUUUUUUAGAUUUUAAUCUAAUCCUUGCAAUAUUUUUGUGAUAUUAAAAAAUAUGAACAAGGAAUCGAAAGAAUUUGCUGGAGAAAAAUGUGACAUUUAUUUUUUGCUCUUGUGCGGGUUAUUGAAACAUUGUUUCUAUGACAAAUAUCACCUUUUCUACUUGGGACAAACCCUCUUUGGCUCUUCCAACUUCUAGACUUUAGCCGCAACGUUUGAGGACAGAGGUAAAUUAUUUAGUUUUUUGGUUUAAUUUCAAUAAGUAAUUACAAUGUGACUUUAGUUUUGUUUGGGUUGAUUCUGUUUCCUUUACAAUUAACAAUGUGUAUUUUAUUCUUUAGAGCUUUGCUGAAAACCUGUGCCCAUUUACCAUUUCUUUAAUUUGUUUAGUCUUCUUAAGUUCAAACCUACUCUUAUAUAUAUUUUUAAUCAGCCUUUCCACCAUUUCGUCUUUGCUUCUCAUAGUUCAUGAGAUUCUAUCUUCCAAUAUUCAUCGUGUUUGUAUCAAAGUAUUUGUUUUAUGAGAACUGCUUUGCAAUUUGCUCAAUUUUCGAACAGUAAGUUAUCUGAAAUGAUCAUACUUGAUCUUUUAAAUGCUUGACUUCUUGUGUUGUCCACUUGUAAAUGCUCGUCUCUGGUUGCUAUAGUUCUUCUGUGUUGUGCAUUUCUUUGCGGCGUCUCUUGGCCUUUCCUAUCUCGUUUUAUAUUCCUUAACACUCGAAUCAACAUAAUAUGCGACUCUGUUUGUAGACUCACAUAAGCUUGUUGAUUAAAAAUGUCUAAAUGAUGUGAAUAAAAUUUGUUUUUUUGUGGGUUUUAACUUUAACAAAAGACAUUUACAUUCAUUGAUUGCAUCACUAACAAAACAAAAAGUAUUUGCUUGAUGUGAACCCAAAAGUAAGAAAAAUAAUAGAGCGUAACAAUCUGAUUAUACUUGGUGCAAGAUCAGAUUAAAGCACAGUUCGAGGAGCUUAGGUCCAUGAGGAAUUUUUUUUUGUUCCAAGAUAUUUUUGGCAUUUAGAUCUAUAUAUCUGUUGGCAUUUAUGGAUUUACAUAUAUUUUCUACAAGUAAUAUAUGACUAUGGAUUCUUGCACAUCUGAUUGUAUUCUACUGACGUAUUAUGCAUGCUCUAAUUCUAAGUACAGCCUUGCAAUUUUUCUCAAAAUUAUGUUGCAUUUGUGCCAUUUUUACAACCGUAUAAUUUAUUUUAUGUUGUUCAUUUACUUUAAUUCAAAUGGGUUGCCAAUUCGCAGAAUAAUCUUCUAAAAAAUUUAAGUUAAAGGAGCAUUGGUUUUCAAUUUUAUGUUUUCACCAUUUGUCUAAAUUUGGUGUAGUAGGAGUAAUUGAUUAAAAAUUGAAUUUUCAGCAUUGGAAAAGAACGAUUAGAGAUUUUGGACUAGAAUUUAUGUAUAGAUGGAUUAACUUUCUAUUGUACAUUUGUCUGACAACAAUUCUUUGACAUGUUUGGACAAUAAUUCUUGUAUAAUCUAUAUGUUGUCUCUGUAGUAUAGAUAUUAUGUCAAACAGAACUGAUCUACCACACCGUUUUGUUCAAGCUAUCAAACUUUCGUUGGACCAUAAUGUUCGCUUGGUAAGUCUUCAAAUGAUCUCUUUGUCACCAUUUACUGAUAAUUAAUGAAAUUAUAUACCAAGUAAACCAUAUUUUCAUGAGACUUAUAUCUUUUUCCUAUAGUUGCUUCCUAGAUCUUUUGUAGAAUGCUCAGGACGUGACCUUGGUGAUACAGUACGUUUAACUGGUUACGAUGGAAUUAUUUGUAACAUACAGUUGGAGAGAGUUGAUGAUAAUAUAUAUCUUGGUACCGGAUGGCCACAAUUCUUUGAUCACCAUAACUUAGAAGAUGGUUAUGUUCUCGUCUUUGAAUAUAACGGAAAUUCUACUGUCGAUGUUUCGAUAUUUGAAUGUUCAGGCAUGGAAGUAACGUAUGAGUCUGAUAUGUUUGACACAUAGACUUCACAUACUGGAAUCCUAUCUUCCGAGUAACAUUAGAAGCUAAUCGUGAUGGUCAUCGAAAAAUUGUAUGCUCCUUUGUAACUUAAAUCUUUCCUGAACUACACAAAACAUUUCCAUACUUAUCAUUCUUGCUGAAUUCUGGAUUUAACUAUUUAUAGAUUUGUCAUUUUGCUUUGUAGUACGUACCUGGGACCUUCGCUCGAUUGUUCUUACCAGCGUCUGUCCAGAAUGUUCAGAUCCAUGAUCGUUCACAUCAUAAUUGGUCCAUACGUACAAACUUAAGAACAAAUGGUUAUCUACGAUCUUUUACCGUAGGUUGGGCAGAAUAUGUUAGAGAGAAGCAACUUCAAAUAGGUGACACAUGUGUCUUUGAACUUAUGAACGAUGAAAUCCCCAUGUUCAUGGUGUAAAAAGUGUCCCGCGCUGAUGGAAGUUGGACUCUUACAUGAACUGUACAUUUCCAUUUGUGGCUUUCGUAUUUACUUAUUAUCGGAUAUUUAUCUGUUUUCUUCUGUACAAACACUCAAUGACUAAUCUAUUGGGUUUCGAAAUUGUAAUUUGCCUAUUCUUUUUUGGCUUCACAUUGGCACUAAAUUUGUACAUUUAAAUUUAUUCUUAUUAAAUUCGAUAGAAAACAAUCUAAACAAAAUAUUAUGAGUCUAUAUGAAAAGUAUUUCCGCCUAACUCAAUUUUUAGGUAUUUCUUUCGGUGCGCCUACAUUUAGCUUUCAAGGGUAUACCUUCGUGCCACUAAAAAGGUUUAUUCUUACUUCAUGUAUGCUCUAAUAUAUAAUUGGUUUUUUUCCUGCAUCUCCACUUCAAAUGCGCUUUAAUUCUUACACUUCUACUUACUUCAUGAAGGUCCACAUUUUUCUACAGGUAUAUCUAAAGAGUCAAAUAUGAAUGAUAAUACUUGAACUUCUUCCAAAGCAUUUAUCACUAAAUUUAGAAAGAACUCUCCUGAAAGAUUACCAUAAUUUGAAAGAACAAUUAAAUAUCUUCAUGGAAAACUUAUCUUUUGUUUAUAACUACAAAGUGAACAUUAUAGAACUCAAACAAGAGAUAACUUCUUUGUCAACAUAUUUGAUUGUUCUUUUAGAUUGUGUUAUUCUUUCGGGAGAGUUUCUUUUAAGUUUGGUGAUAGUUACUUUGGAAGAAGCUCAAACUUUAGACUCCAGCAUAUUUCAUAUUGAGAGGUAAUUCCUAAACCAACGUCAAAUUUUCCUCAAUUUAAAGUCCUGAAUUAUGUGUUCAGAACGAAUUAUAUUGUCAUUGUAUAAUCAAUUGUUGAACCAUUUUUGUUCCAGCAGCUGAAAAUAUCUCUAUGCCUCAGAAGCCCA